UACGUAGGGGGCGAGCGUUGUCCGGAUUUAUUGGGCGUAAAGAGCUCGUAGGCGGUUGCGGAAGUCGGGGGUGAAAUACCGGGGCUCAACUCCGGGGCGCCAUUCGAUACUCCGCUGACUCGAGUCCGGUAGGGGAAGGUGGAAUUCCUGGUGUAGCGGUGAAAUGCACAGAUAUCAGGAGGAACACCGGUGGCGAAGGCGGGUCUCUGGGCCGAUACUGACGCUGAGGUGCGAAAGCGUGGGGAGCAAACAGG
rnacentral:rRNA from 1 species